UUUAAACUCAGUGGGUAAAUACGAACAUCCUGGUGCUCCAGAGGGAAGCACAGGUUCAGCCGGGCACCCUCUACUUCCGGAUAGGAAAGGCACAUCGCCCCAGCACCCUCUACUUCCGGAUAGGAAAGGCACAUCGCCCCAGCACCCUCUACUUCCGGAUAGGAAAGGCACAUCGCCCCAACUGCGGGAGGAUUCCCGUGGGCGUGACACCUGCUACAGUUGGGAGUGAUUUAGAGUCGACCUGACUUCAGAUUCCUUUAGGAUAAGCAGUGGAGUAGAUAGUUCGGGAUUAACAAGAAAAAAAAAAAAUCUAAGAGUUAAGAUUGACUGGUCCUUAAGUCUCUCCUCGAAAUAGCCUCACACAGUAUUGAUGUGUUCCAGCCUUGGCUUAGCCUCCUGUGAGACGGUUUGCUUUUUAGACAAACAAGCAGAUUUGGACUUUUCACCCUGAUAAGCAGAUGUGGAGCUUAGCCUUCAAAGAAAUACCUGCUGCGGGAAAUGACCCCAUGACCUUUUAAGACCUCUGGACAGAAACGAUUGGCUCCGGUUAACGACUGUACUCUCCCACUUCAAGGGCUGUUGACAAAGUUCGAUUCCUCGUGCACCUUUCCCAACUGCGUUUAAAUGCUCUCCAGCACAGUCUUUGGACCACGCUUUUCUCAGCCAUUUUGUGGGGAUAGCAAAGGCUGCUCGGUGCAGCCUUAUAAGCGUCAGCGUCUGACAAGGGUACAUGCCGGUUCUGGUGAGAUUUACUUAAUGUCUUAGCUGUAAGCAUUUCCCGGAGUGAAGGGAGCAUCAGAUCCUGCGGCCACUGGGGCUUCACUGAGGGUCCCCGGAACAAAUGGGGAAGUUCUUGUUAGAGCUGGAGUUUUUUGAGGCAAGCCUUGGAAAGUCGACUGCCCCCAGAGCACCUUCAAUUAAAAUUGUACUAGCAGUGUGGACCAAUGUAACCAUAAAGAUAAAAGAAAAAGAAAAAAGAGCCUGGGGGAGUGGUGGAUAGAGGUCUACAAGGGCAGCUCUGAUCUUACCAAGUCGGUUCUACAUUCUUGGGAAAAGGUUGUACUUAGCAUCAAAAUUUCAGCACACACAAGUGUCUGUCAUUGACAUUUGUGAUAACCAGUUUGGGUCGUAUUGGUUCAGCUCUUAUAGAACCUCUUAAUGCUAAACAGCCGAACUCCUAGGUCAGGUGGUUAGGGCAGGGGGGAGGGGAGACAUUACUGAUGAUGCUCUGUGUUAUAAGUUACAGAGGACUCAUUUGCCUUGAUUGAAUAACAAAGUGUAUUCCUUAGCUCGUAGAACUGAAAAGCCUGGAGAUCGAGAGGAACUGAGUGUGGCUUGGUGUACAGUGGUCCCACUGUAUCACAAAACACCUGAUUUCUCCCUGUCUAUCUUCUGUCCCUCUUACAGAGUCAGUUCAUCCCAAGUCUGUGUCUCUCGCUGUCCCAAGUAGCCUCCAGCACCAGCUGAUUUCUUAUCAAGCCUUGUGGGACCAAGAGAAAACUCUACACGUAUUGCCCACAGAAUAUCAGGAAUGACCUCAUCCCGGGGUCUGCUUGAAGAAGGGAGAAUUGGGAGCAGCAGAAGGGAGAGGACUAUGGAGGGAUGAUUGUGAACAAAGCUUGAUGUCAUAAUGUAUGGAAAUAUCACAGUGAUAUUGUGAAGUGGGGGCGGGGUAGAGGGAGAGGUGGGGGGGCAAGCAUCUAGACUAUGGUAAGACUGGAAGCCAAAAGCCAUCAUGGCCUCUGCACAUCCCCCAAAUCUAAAUGUCAAAGGCUCAUGCAAACAGCACAGAUCCAUCAAAGCCUUGACUCUGUCUUGAUGUUACUGAAGCUGUUCCAUGCUUUGGAAAGACAUUUGCUAUCGGAUGUGCAGAAGAUGCCAAAAGGUUCCGGGAAUAUGCAUACCGCCUCCUGAAUCUCCUCCAGUGAUGGAACAACUUUGCAUUAAGUGGUUUAC
rnacentral:lncRNA from 1 species